rnacentral:rRNA from 1 species
CCUACGGGAGGCAGCAGUGAGGAAUAUUGGUCAAUGGACGAGAGUCUGAACCAGCCAAGUAGCGUGAAGGAUGACUGCCCUAUGGGUUGUCAACUUCUUUUAUAAAGGAAUAAAACGAGGCACGUGUGCCUUUUUGCAUGUACUUUAUGAAUAAGGAUCGGUUAACUCCGUGCCAGAAGACGCGGUAAUACGGAGGAUCCUAGCGUUAUCCGGGUUGAUGGGGUUUAAAGGGAAGGUAGAGGGGUUGUUAAGUCAGUUGGUAAAGUUAGCGGAUCAACCGUAAGAUUGUAAUUGAUACUGGCAGUCUUGAGUACAGUUGAGGUAGGCGGAAUUCGUGGGGUAGCGGUGAAAUGCUUAGAUAUCACGAAGAACCCCGAUUGCGAAGGCAGCUUACUAAACUGUGACUGACAUUGAUGCUCGAAAGUGUGGGUAUCAAACAGGAUUAGAUACCCGGGUAGUC